rnacentral:rRNA from 1 species
UACAGAGGGUGCGAGCGUUGUCCGGAAUCACUGGGCGUAAAGGGCGCGUAGGCGGCGCGGGCAGUCAACGGUGAAGGCUCGGAGCUCAACUCCGAGUCGGCCGUCGAUACUCCCGUGCUUGAGCACUGUAGAGGCAGGUGGAAUUCCGGGUGUAGCGGUGGAAUGCGUAGAGAUCCGGAAGAACACCGGUGGCGAAGGCGGCCUGCUGGGCAGUAGCUGACGCUGAGGCGCGACAGCGUGGGGAGCAAACAGG